rnacentral:tRNA from 1 species
UAUGGCAGAAUAGUGCAAUGAGUUUAAGACUCAUAUAUGAGAAUAAAUUCUCUAUUAGAAA